ensembl:misc_RNA Y_RNA Y RNA
GGCUGGUCUGAAGGUAGUGAGUUAUCACAACUCUGCUCUAUACUCCCCUCUCCCUUCCCAUUGCUUCACUUACUAACUAGUUGUUA